rnacentral:rRNA from 1 species
GGUUAAGCGACUAAGCGUACACGGUGGAUGCCCUGGCAGUCAGAGGCGAUGAAGGGCGUGCUAAUCUGCGAUAAGCGCCGGUAAGGUGAUAUGAACCGUUAUAACCGGCGAUACCCGAAUGGGGAAACCCAGUGUGACUCGUCACACUAUCAUUAACUGAAUCCAUAGGUUAAUGAGGCGAACCGGGGGAACUGAAACAUCUAAGUACCCCGAGGAAAAGAAAUCAACCGAGAUUCCCCCAGUAGCGGCGAGCGAACGGGGAGGAGCCCAGAGCCUGAAUCAGCAUGUGUGUUAGUGGAAGCGUCUGGAAAGGCGCGCGAUACAGGGUGACAGCCCCGUACACAAAAGCGCAUGUGCUGUGAGCUCGAUGAGUAGGGCGGGACACGUGGUAUCCUGUCUGAAUAUGGGGGGACCAUCCUCCAAGGCUAAAUACUCCUGACUGACCGAUAGUGAACCAGUACCGUGAGGGAAAGGCGAAAAGAACCCCGGCGAGGGGAGUGAAAAAGAACCUGAAACCGUGUACGUACAAGCAGUGGGAGCCCCACCACCAAAGCAUUCUCUGGUGUUGAAGGCCCUGCAAAGCAGCAUCGCGGUGGCGGAGCGUCGUUUGCGACGCCCAACACACAAAACAAGCGGUGAAUGCUUUGGGGUGGGGUGACUGCGUACCUUUUGUAUAAUGGGUCAGCGACUUAUAUUCUGUAGCAAGGUUAACCGAAUAGGGGAGCCGGAGGGAAACCGAGUCUUAAUUGGGCGUUAAGUUGCAGGGUAUAGACCCGAAACCCGGUGAUCUAGCCAUGGGCAGGUUGAAGGUUGGGUAACACUAACUGGAGGACCGAACCGACUAAUGUUGAAAAAUUAGCGGAUGACCUGUGGCUGGGGGUGAAAGGCCAAUCAAACCGGGAGAUAGCUGGUUCUCCCCGAAAGCUAUUUAGGUAGCGCCUCGUGAAUUCAUCUCCGGGGGUAGAGCACUGUUUCGGCUAGGGGGCCAUCCCGGCUUACCAACCCGAUGCAAACUGCGAAUACCGGAGAAUGUUAUCACGGGAGACACACGGCGGGUGCUAACGUCCGUCGUGAAGAGGGAAACAACCCAGACCGCCAGCUAAGGUCCCAAAGUCAUGGUUAAGUGGGAAACGAUGUGGGAAGGCCCAGACAGCCAGGAUGUUGGCUUAGAAGCAGCCAUCAUUUAAAGAAAGCGUAAUAGCUCACUGGUCGAGUCGGCCUGCGCGGAAGAUGUAACGGGGCUAAACCAUGCACCGAAGCUGCGGCAGCGAACGUAUCACCCAAGACAACUUUACGGAGUUGACGAUUGACGGAGCGAAGCGACGUCAAAGCGUUCAUUAAAGUCGAGUUGGCUUAGGGAUACGUUCGUUGGGUAGGGGAGCGUUCUGUAAGCCUGUGAAGGUGUGUCGUGAGGCAUGCUGGAGGUAUCAGAAGUGCGAAUGCUGACAUAAGUAACGAUAAAGCGGGUGAAAAGCCCGCUCGCCGGAAGACCAAGGGUUCCUGUCCAACGUUAAUCGGGGCAGGGUGAGUCGACCCCUAAGGCGAGGCCGAAAGGCGUAGUCGAUGGGAAACGGGUUAAUAUUCCCGUACUUGGUGUUACUGCGAAGGGGGGACGGAGAAGGCUAUGUUGGCCGGGCGACGGUUGUCCCGGUUUAAGCGUGUAGGUGUGUGUUCCAGGUAAAUCCGGUUCACUUUAACACUGAGGCGUGACGACGAGGCACUACGGUGCUGAAGCAACAAAUGCCCUGCUUCCAGGAAAAGCCUCUAAGCAUCAGGUAACAUCAAAUCGUACCCCAAACCGACACAGGUGGUCAGGUAGAGAAUACCAAGGCGCUUGAGAGAACUCGGGUGAAGGAACUAGGCAAAAUGGUGCCGUAACUUCGGGAGAAGGCACGCUGACACGUAGGUGAAGUGAUUUACUCAUGGAGCUGAAGUCAGUCGAAGAUACCAGCUGGCUGCAACUGUUUAUUAAAAACACAGCACUGUGCAAACACGAAAGUGGACGUAUACGGUGUGACGCCUGCCCGGUGCCGGAAGGUUAAUUGAUGGGGUCAGCGCAAGCGAAGCUCCUGAUCGAAGCCCCGGUAAACGGCGGCCGUAACUAUAACGGUCCUAAGGUAGCGAAAUUCCUUGUCGGGUAAGUUCCGACCUGCACGAAUGGCGUAAUGAUGGCCAGGCUGUCUCCACCCGAGACUCAGUGAAAUUGAACUCGCUGUGAAGAUGCAGUGUACCCGCGGCAAGACGGAAAGACCCCGUGAACCUUUACUAUAGCUUGACACUGAACAUUGAGCCUUGAUGUGUAGGAUAGGUGGGAGGCUUUGAAGUGUGGACGCCAGUCUGCAUGGAGCCGACCUUGAAAUACCACCCUUUAAUGUUUGAUGUUCUAACGUGGACCCGUAAUCCGGGUUGCGGACAGUGUCUGGUGGGUAGUUUGACUGGGGCGGUCUCCUCCUAAAGAGUAACGGAGGAGCACGAAGGUUGGCUAAUCCUGGUCGGACAUCAGGAGGUUAGUGCAAUGGCAUAAGCCAGCUUGACUGCGAGCGUGACGGCGCGAGCAGGUGCGAAAGCAGGUCAUAGUGAUCCGGUGGUUCUGAAUGGAAGGGCCAUCGCUCAACGGAUAAAAGGUACUCCGGGGAUAACAGGCUGAUACCGCCCAAGAGUUCAUAUCGACGGCGGUGUUUGGCACCUCGAUGUCGGCUCAUCACAUCCUGGGGCUGAAGUAGGUCCCAAGGGUAUGGCUGUUCGCCAUUUAAAGUGGUACGCGAGCUGGGUUUAGAACGUCGUGAGACAGUUCGGUCCCUAUCUGCCGUGGGCGCUGGAGAACUGAGGGGGGCUGCUCCUAGUACGAGAGGACCGGAGUGGACGCAUCACUGGUGUUCGGGUUGUCAUGCCAAUGGCACUGCCCGGUAGCUAAAUGCGGAAGAGAUAAGUGCUGAAAGCAUCUAAGCACGAAACUUGCCCCGAGAUGAGUUCUCCCUGAGACUUAGAGUCUCCUGAAGGAACGUUGAAGACGACGACGUUGAUAGGCCGGGUGUGUAAGCGCAGCGAUGCGUUGAGCUAACCGGUACUAAUGAACCGUGAGGCUUAACCUU